rnacentral:misc_RNA from 1 species
GAUGAAGAACGGAGCGAAAUGCGAUACUUGGUGUGAAUUGCAGAAUCCCGUGAACCAUCGAGUCUUUGAACGCAAGUUGCGCCCGAAGCCACUAGGCCGAGGGCACGCCUGCCUGGGCGUCACACGCCGUUGCCCCCCCAUCAACUCCUUCGGGAUUGCGGGGGGGCGGAUGAUGGCCUCCCGUGCGCCUAGCCGCGCGGUUGGCAUAAAUACCAAGUCCUCGGCGACGCACGCCACGACAAUCGGUGGUUGCGAAACCUCGGUUGCUCGUCGUGUGCGUUCGUCGCGCAUCGAGGGCUCGAAAAAAUGCUCGGCUCCGGCUGGGCUUUCAACGCGACCCCAGGUCAGGCGGGGUUACCCGCUGAAUUUAAGCAUAUCAAUAAGCGGAGGA